CCUACGAGAGGCAGCAGUGGGGAAUAUUGCACAAUGGGGGAAACCCUGAUGCAGCGACGCCGCGUGAGUGAAGAAGUAUUUCGGUACGUAAAGCUCUAUCAGCAGGGAAGAAAUAAAGUCCUUUGGACUUUGGACGGUACCUGACUAAGAAGCCCCGGCUAACUACGUGCCAGCAGCCGCGGUAAUCCGUAGGGGGCAAGCGUUAUCCGGAUUUACUGGGUGUAAAGGGAGGGUAGACGGCAGCGCAAGUCUGGAGUGAAUUCCCAUGGCUUAACCAUGGAACUGCUGUGGAAACUGUGCAGCUGGAGUGCAGGAGAGGUAAGCGGAAUUCCUAGUGUAGCGGUGAAAUGCGUAGAUAUUAGGAGGAACACCAGUGGCGAAGGCGGCUUACUGGACUGUAACUGACGUUGAGGCUCGAAAGCGCGGGGAGCAAACAGGAUUAGAUACCCCGGUAGUC
rnacentral:rRNA from 1 species